CACGUAGGGGGCAAGCGUUGUCCGGAAUGACUGGGCGUAAAGGGCGUGUAGGCGGCUAUAAAAGUCAGAUGUGAAACACCUGGGCUCAACCGAGGUAUUGCAUUUGAAACUUUAUAGCUUGAGUGCAGGAGAGGAGAGUGGAAUUCCCAGUGUAGCGGUGAAAUGCGUAGAUAUUGGGAGGAACACCAGUGGCGAAGGCGACUCUCUGGACUGCAACUGACGCUGAGGCGCGAAAGCUGGGGGAGCGAACGGG
rnacentral:rRNA from 1 species